rnacentral:rRNA from 1 species
CCCCUAGAUGUUCUGGGCCGCACGCGCGCUACACUGAACAGUUCAACAAGUCUUAACCUUGGCCGAUAGGUCUGGGUAAUCUUUGAACGCUGUUCGUGAUUGGGAUAGACCUUUGCAAUUAUGGGUCUUCAACGAGGAAUUCCUAGUAAACGCAAGUCAUCAGCUUGCAUUGAUUACGUCCCUGCCCUUUGUACACACCGCCCGUCGCACCUACCGAUUGAAUGGUCCGGUGAAAUCUCGGGACGGCGGCUUGGUCGCUUGCGUCCGACUGCUGAAACUUGAUUAAACCAUAUCAUUGAGAGGAAGGUGAANUCGUANCA